rnacentral:rRNA from 1 species
AGUGAACGCUGGCGGUAGGCCUAACACAUGCAAGUCGAACGGCAGCACAGUAAGCGCUUGCUCUUACGGGUGGCGAGUGACGGACGGGUGAGGAAUACAUCGGAAUCUACUUUUUCUUGGGGGAUAACGUAGGGAAGCUUACGCUAAUACCGCAUACGUCCUACGGGUGAAAGCAGUGGAUCUUCGGACCUUUCGCGAUUCAAUUAGCCGAUGUCGCAUUAGCUAGUUGGCGGGGUAAAGGCCCACCAAGGCGACGAUCCGUAGCUGGUCUGAGAGGAUGAUCAGCCACACUGGAACUGAGACACGGUCCAGACUCCUACGGGAGGCAGCAGUGGGGAAUAUUGGACAAUGGGCGCAAGCCUGAUCCAGCCAUACCGCGUGGGUGAAGAAGGCCUUCGGGUUGUAAAGCCCUUUUGUUGGGAAAGAAAAGCAGCAGGUUAAUACCCCGCUGUUCUGACGGUACCCAAAGAAUAAGCACCGGCUAACUUCGUG